UACGUAGGGCGCAAGCGUUAUCCGGAAUUAUUGGGCGUAAAGAGCUCGUAGGCGGUUUGUCGCGUCUGCCGUGAAAGUCCGGGGCUCAACUCCGGAUCUGCGGUGGGUACGGGCAGACUAGAGUGAUGUAGGGGGAGACUGGAAUUCCUGGUGUAGCGGUGAAAUGCGCAGGUAUCAGGAGGAACACCGAUGGCGAAGGCAGGUCUCUGGGCAUUAACUGACGCUGAGGAGCGAAAGCAUGGGGAGCGAACAGG
rnacentral:rRNA from 1 species